AGGGGACAAUACAUCAACAUUAAAGUCACUAUUUAAACAUUCUAGAAUAAUACCCCUGAGAUAAAAUUAUCUAUUUUCAACGAAAAUUAUCAAACACGGAGGGUUUCCCGACAAUGUCAUCACACCACACAGUGAGUCAUCGUCCGUAACUUCAACAACAUCGAAUUGAUUCAUCUCGGUCGAAUAUCGGACUUUGAUAAUUAGACGAUACUCAUCCCUCGGAGUAUCAGUUAAUCUAUAUAUUUUUUCUCUCGAAUUCUAUAAAUGUAAUAUCCACUGGAAUACCACUUAAUUUCUUACAACCGGCAAUGUACUUUGGAUUGUUAUCGUGCAUCAAUAUUUCUCCAUUCCAAUGAACAACUAUAGCCACAUUACUACGCGUCAUCCUAACUUAAACAAAAUAUAAAAUUUGUAAACAAACAUAAUUAUACCAAUAUUACCAAUAUUU
rnacentral:lncRNA from 1 species